UACGUAGGGUGCGAGCGUUGUCCGGAAUUAUUGGGCGUAAAGAGCUCGUAGGCGGUGUGUCACGUCGGCCGUGAAAACCUGCAGCUUAACUGUGGGCGUGCGGUCGAUACGGGCAUCACUGGAGUUCGGCAGGGGAGACUGGAAUUCCUGGUGGUAGCGGUGAAAUGCGCGAGAUAUCAGGAGGGAACACCGAUGGCGAAGGCAGUGGUCGUGGGCCGAUACUGACGCUGAGGAGCGAAAGCGUGGGGAGCGAACAGG
rnacentral:rRNA from 1 species